GUUAUAUGGUCAAGCGAAUAAGCGCACACGGUGGAUGCCUAGGCGGUCAGAGGCGAUGAAGGACGUGGUAGCCUGCGAAAAGUGUCGGGGAGCUGGCAACAAGCUUUGAUCCGGCAAUAUCCGAAUGGGGAAACCCACUGCUUCGGCAGUAUCCUGCAGUGAAUUCAUAGCUGCUGGAAGCGAACCCGGUGAACUGAAAUAUCUAAGUAACCGGAGGAAAAGAAAUCAACCGAGAUUCCCUAAGUAGUGACGAGCGAACGGGGAGCAGCCCUUAAGCUGGAAUGGCUUUAGAAAAACAAUCUGGAAAGAUUGGCCAUAGAAGGUGAUAGCCCUGUAUUUAAAAGGGCCACUCCAGUGAAGACGAGUAGGGCGGGGCACGUGAAACCCUGUCUGAAUAUGGGGGGACCAUCCUCCAAGGCUAAAUACUCCUGACCGACCGAUAGUGAACCAGUACCGUGAGGGAAAGGCGAAAAGAACCCCGGAGAGGGGAGUGAAAUAGAUCCUGAAACCGUGUGCGUACAAGCAGUAGGAGCUCGCAAGAGUGACUGCGUACCUUUUGUAUAAUGGGUCAGCGACUUACUGUUCGUGGCAAGCUUAACCGUAUAGGGGAGGCGAAGGGAAACCGAGUCUGAUAAGGGCGCAUAGUCGCGGGCAGUAGACCCGAAACCGGGUGAUCUAGUCAUGGCCAGGGUGAAGGUGCCGUAACAGGUACUGGAGGCCCGAACCCACGUCUGUUGCAAAAGACGGGGAUGAGCUGUGAUUAGGAGUGAAAAGCUAAUCGAACCCGGAGAUAGCUGGUUCUCCUCGAAAGCUAUUUAGGUAGCGCCUCGGACGAAUACUACUGGGGGUAGAGCACUGUUAUGGCUAGGGGGUCAUCGCGACUUACCAAACCAUUGCAAACUCCGAAUACCAGUACGUACUAUCCGGGAGACACACGGCGGGUGCUAACGUCCGUCGUGAAAAGGGAAACAACCCAGACCCACAGCUAAGGUCCCAAAUUCACUGCUAAGUGGAAAACGAUGUGGAAAGGCAUAGACAGCCAGGAGGUUGGCUUAGAAGCAGCCACCCUUUAAAGAAAGCGUAAUAGCUCACUGGUCGAGUCGGUCUGCGCGGAAGAUUUAACGGGGCUAAGCAGUGAACCGAAGCUUGGGGUGCGUAAAACUUCGGUUUUAUGCGCGGUAGAGGAGCGUUCCGUAAGCCUGCGAAGGUGGAUUGAGAAGUCUGCUGGAGGUAUCGGAAGUGCGAAUGCUGACAUGAGUAACGAUAAUGCGGGUGAAAAGCCCGCACGCCGAAAGCCCAAGGUUUCCUUGCGCAACGUUAAUCGACGCAGGGUUAGUCGGUCCCUAAGGCGAGGGCGAAAGCCGUAGUCGAUGGGAAGCAGGUUAAUAUUCCUGCACCUCGCGUGAGUGCGAUGGAGGGACGGAGAAGGUUAGGUGUACCGGGCGUUGGUUGUCCCGGGGAAAGGCGGUAGGUUUGGAUCUUUGGCAAAUCCGGGAUCCUUUAAGACCGAGCACCGAGACGAGCCUUUAUGGCGAAGUCACUGAUACCACGCUUCCAGGAAAAGCUCCUAAGCUUCAGCUCACGAAGACCGUACCGUAAACCGACACAGGUGGGUAGGAUGAGAAUUCUCAGGCGCUUGAGAGAACUCGGGUGAAGGAACUAGGCAACAUGGCACCGUAACUUCGGGAGAAGGUGCACCCUUUUUGGUGGCUCAUGCGAGCUAUAGCUGAAGAGGGUCGCAGAAACCAGGCCGCUGCGACUGUUUAUCAAAAACACAGCACUCUGCAAACACGAAAGUGGACGUAUAGGGUGUGACGCCUGCCCGGUGCUGGAAGGUUAAUUGAUGGGGUCAGCCGCAAGGCGAAGCUCUUGAUCGAAGCCCCAGUAAACGGCGGCCGUAACUAUAACGGUCCUAAGGUAGCGAAAUUCCUUGUCGGGUAAGUUCCGACCUGCACGAAUGGCGUAACGACAGCGGCGCUGUCUCCACCCGAGACUCAGUGAAAUUGAAAUCGCUGUGAAGAUGCAGCGUUCCCGUGGCAAGACGGAAAGACCCCGUGAACCUUUACUAUAGCUUUACACUGAACGUUGAGUUCGUCUGUGUAGGAUAGGUGGGAGGCUAUGAAACUGUGGCGCUAGCUGCAGUGGAGCCAUCCUUGAAAUACCACCCUGUCGUGCUUGACGUUCUAACCUAGGUCCGUUAUCCGGAUCAGGGACCGUGUAUGGUGGGUAGUUUGACUGGGGCGGUCUCCUCCUAAAGAGUAACGGAGGAGCACGAAGGUACGCUCAGCGCGGUCGGACAUCGCGCACUGUGUGCAAAGGCAUAAGCGUGCUUGACUGCAAGAUCGACGGAUCAAGCAGGUACGAAAGUAGGUCUUAGUGAUCCGGUGGUUCUGUAUGGAAGGGCCAUCGCUCAACGGAUAAAAGGUACUCCGGGGAUAACAGGCUGAUACCGCCCAAGAGUUCAUAUCGACGGCGGUGUUUGGCACCUCGAUGUCGGCUCAUCACAUCCUGGGGCUGUAGUCGGUCCCAAGGGUAUGGCUGUUCGCCAUUUAAAGUGGUACGCGAGCUGGGUUCAGAACGUCGUGAGACAGUUCGGUCCCUAUCUGCCAUGGGCGUUGGAAGUUUGAGAGGGGCUGCUCCUAGUACGAGAGGACCGGAGUGGACGAACCUCUGGUGUUCCGGUUGUCACGCCAGUGGCAUUGCCGGGUAGCUAUGUUCGGAAGCGAUAACCGCUGAAAGCAUCUAAGCGGGAAGCGCGCCUCAAGAUGAGACUUCCCGGGGCACAAGCCCCCUAAAGGAACCAUGUAGACUACGUGGUUGAUAGGUCAGGUGUGUAAGUACAGCAAUGUAUUGAGCUAACUGAUACUAAUGAUCCGUGCGGCUUGACCAUAUAACCUCA
rnacentral:rRNA from 1 species